GGGAGGAGGAGGAGGGGAAAAAAACAGUGAAUGAGUGUUCAGAUGUACAGACAGGACAGAGGGUGAGGGGGAGAGAGAGAGACAGGGAAAGAGUUGAUUUGGAAACUAGUUGGAGGAGGGAGAAGGGAGUGGAAAGAGUGAGGAGGUACACAAACUCUCUGAGAAUAGGAGGAGAAAGUGAACACUCUCACAGGAGGAACAGUUGUGGUCAUAAAAAAGAAACGGCUGCUGAUCUGCUCAAAGAGUCAUAUUACGUCCAAACAUCCAGAGCUGCUCUCUCUCUCUCUCUCUCAGUCUGAACUGAAGCAGGCUAAUUAGAUGAAGAGAAGAAGACCUGCAGGCACCACAAACUAACUUAUGAGAAGAGAGAAAGAAGAGGGGGAGGGAGAAAACAAGCAGGAGUAAAAGUCACUGAAACGUUCUGGGGACUGUUUACUUCUGCCUUUGGCUCUGCUGUCAGAGAAGAGUUAACAAGUGGAAGUAGUGGCACACAUUUGCUAAAGAGCGGAAGGACAAAGACAAGAGGUUGCAGUGUGAAGAGGGUCAGCAGCAGAGGCCUCACAUUCUUCAGGCUCACUCCAGCAGAGCUCUACUGAGGCC